rnacentral:antisense_RNA from 1 species
CAAAAGAGCAAGUCAGGGAACUAGCUUUGGUUGGGUUCGGUGGUACACAAAGCACAAGGCCUGGGUUGGGGUUAGGAGGAAAUGAGACUUGCGGCGGGUCGGGGCUGAAGAUGUGGCAGCGCCCUGAACCUGGAGAAAGGCUGAAUCCCUUUGGUCAAGGAGAGGGAGAGAGAGGUAAGGGUCUGGUCUUACUUUUUAAGCAGGAAGAAGACUACAAACCACCAUCUACCAUCUGCCAGGCCCUGGAAUUUGAACCACCAUCUUCUGGAAUUUGAAUCACCAUCUUCUGGACUGACUCAAAUGCAGAGGAAGCCAGGCCUGCUGCUAACAUUUCUGAGAGGCGGCAAGAGUAUAAAUGGAGAUCCACAUAUGUAUAAAUAAAGAGUGUGAAUCAAGCUAACAAACUGUUUAAUAAAAUAUGAUCUACCCUCUUAGCUUGACAAAUCAACUUUUCAAACACCUGGAAGAACAAGUUUGCACUCAGGAUUCUCAGACUCCUCAGAGUUCUGCACUGGGAUGUGGAAGGGCUGUGCAAGCCAGCCCUUGGGUCCCUGAUCCCUGUCUCCUGGCCUGUGCCCGUCUCUUCUCAGCCUGGCUCCAACUCCCAUUGAGAGGAAGUUCUUGUACACAUAUGAUACUGCAGCCCCUAUGUCUAAUAUUUAUCCAUACCUUCUGCAAACAGCCACUGUGUGACCACCCUUGGGCUUCCCAGGGGUCUGCAAACUGACAAUACAGACAAAGGGAACCAAGGCAGAGGCUCACAGACUGUAGAAAUGGGCUUGGGGCCAUUUGGGCAGAGACUUGUGGAAUCCCAGCACGAUCACUCUGGGUGCUGUGUGAAAUGGAUGAAUAGCAAGGAGCUGCAGCCAAGAGCAAAUCAACAGAAGCACCACUCAAAAUGCCUCAGUACCCAUUACAUAAGGAUUCUUGUGAUUAAUUCUUCCCCAAAAUUUAGAGCCAAGAAAAAUCCAGCUCUCCUACUGAGAGUUGUAGAUUAGAGCUUCUGUUUCUAAUCUACAAACAAAUGUGUGCAAUGUCUUUUCAUGACAAUUCCAACUUUAUCAUAAGGUUGUCUACUAAGAAACUAGCAGGCAGGUUUCUCUUGUCUAGACCACCUGAAAGCUCAUAGCUGAGUUUGCACUUAUUUGCAGAGUAAACUGCUCAUUUAUCAAUCUGGCAUCCAAUCACAACUUUUUAGCUAACUACCUAUAUGUUUUCAUAAACUUUUCUCACACAGUAUAAAUUUUAAAUAAAUAACUAGCAAUUAAGUAGUAACAACUCGAGACUGGUAUCUGACUAGUGGUUCCUUCACCAGUGUGUACACUGGAAGUUUUGUUUUGUUUUUUGAUGUUUGUACAUUGUAAUUGCAGGACAGGUAGUAAGAAGAUUUCAAAUUCACAUUAGCUUUGCUACCACUAAAUUAUGGUGACUGUUUCUAAUUUGCAAACAAAUGUAUGCAAUCUCUUUUUAUGAUUAUCCCGACUUUAUCGUAAGGUUGUUAUAUUUUAAGACAUAUGAAAAGGUAUAAAGUAUAAUACAGUGAAUACAUAUAUAUCUAACUCCCAGUUUAAGAAAUAAAACAUUAGCAAAUACAGCUGAAGUUCCAUGAAUUCCCCUCCCAAAUCAUACUCCCUUCCCACCCGCAGAGGGAACCUCUAUUCUGAGCCUGGUGUUUAUCACCACCAAGAAUUAAAAAAAUACUUUUACUAUAUAUACACAAGUAUGUACCCCUUAGAAAUGAGUAGUAGUACUGUUCUGUGUGUCUUUACACUUUAAGUAAAUGGUAUAAGUUUUUUCUUGUUUUUGCUCAAAAUUGUUGAUAUUUAUGCCCUUUGAUUCUAUAGCUGACUGACUUUCACUGUGAGUCAUUCCAUCAUUAUUUCUGUAUUCAUUCUCCUGCUGAAGUACAUUUCAGGUUGUUGCUAUUCCUCUGCUGAUCCCCCUCCCCCAACACACAUGAUUUGUUAAUAAAUCUGCUGGAACAUUCUUGCAUACA